GCACCGGCGUGCGGCCCGGCUGAGCCCCCAGGUAGCUCCGCGCGCACAGCAGGACGGUCAUUGACGCCAUGAGCGCGCUGCUGCGGCUGCUGCGCACGGGUGCCCCAGCCGCUGCGUGCCUGCGGUUGGGGACCAGUGCAGGGACCGGGUCGCGCCGUGCUAUGGCCCUGUACCACACUGAGGAGCGCGGCCAGCCCUGCUCGCAGAAUUACCGCCUCUUCUUUAAGAAUGUAACUGGUCACUACAUUUCCCCCUUUCAUGAUAUUCCUCUGAAGGUGAACUCUAAAGAGGAAAAUGGCAUUCCUAUGAAGAAAGCACGAAAUGAUGAAUAUGAGAAUCUGUUUAAUAUGAUUGUAGAAAUACCUCGGUGGACAAAUGCUAAAAUGGAGAUUGCCACCAAGGAGCCAAUGAAUCCCAUUAAACAAUAUGUAAAGGAUGGAAAGCUACGCUAUGUGGCGAAUAUCUUCCCUUACAAGGGUUAUAUAUGGAAUUAUGGUACCCUCCCUCAGACUUGGGAAGAUCCCCAUGAAAAAGAUAAGAGCACGAACUGCUUUGGAGAUAAUGAUCCUAUUGAUGUUUGCGAAAUAGGCUCAAAGAUUCUUUCUUGUGGAGAAGUUAUUCAUGUGAAGAUCCUUGGAAUUUUGGCUCUUAUUGAUGAAGGUGAAACAGAUUGGAAAUUAAUUGCUAUCAAUGCGAAUGAUCCUGAAGCCUCAAAGUUUCAUGGUCUCAGAAAUAUUCCAGUAUAUACAAUAAAUCGCAUAGUCAUCCUGCCUUCACUUGACAGGAGCCAAACUUCCAGCCUGUCCUACCUGCCUGCACAUCAGGAUUCCUGUGUGCCCCUGGAUGCAGCCCUACAUGUUGUUUUGUAUUUUUGUUCCCUCUUGGGUCUACAAAGUUACUUAUGUUGUUUUUGAGUCUUUUUGAUGUUAAUCUGUUUAUAAGGUAUCUAUUUUAGGUAGGUUAGCCUGAGGGAGUACACUGAAACACGAAUUUAGUGCCCCUCUGUCAAAAGGUCUCUGUUUUUUCCAAAGCAGAAUGCUUUGGAAACUUGAGGAGUCUUUUUAUUUGCUGAUAAUUUGGUUAAUAUGCUUGAACUCAGUGAAAGCCUCAUUUCAGAAAUAAAUAUUUAUAAGUACUUCACUCAAGUAAUUCUAUUUAUAUAUUCCCUCUCCAUUCCAAAUGUUUAAAAGAGGGGUUAAUUUAACUUCAACACAGUGGAAAAAAAUUAAUUUAUAAGAACUAAAUUGUAAUAAUAUUAGAGAUAAAAGUAAACGUGUCUGUUGUUAAAUAAGAAAUUAAUUACAAAUUCAUUUAGGGUCUUUACUAUAAGUGAAAAACUAUAUGUGUAUAGCAAAAAGUUAUUAAUAAGUAUGCAUGUGUAUGUGUAUAUAUAUAUACCUAGAUACUUUUUAUAUAUGUUAUUUUUAGUCUUUGUGUUUGUUUAUAACUAUGCCUACCUACAUUGAUUUUUCAGGAGCAUUAUACAAAUUAAAAUAACUGUCAAUAUUAAUGAAAAUCUGUUUAGUAUUUUUCUAAAAAAAUUAACUCAUGUUUGUGUAUUUAUUUAUUUAUUCAUUUAUUUAUUUUUGAGGCAGAGUCUCACUCUGUCGCCCAGGCUGGAGUGCAGUGGCAGGAUCUUGGCUCACUGCAAGCUCCGCCUCCCAGGUUCAUGCCAUUCUCCUGCCUCAGCCUCCCGAGUAGCUGAGACUACAGGUGCCCGCCACCACGCCCAGCUAAUUUUUUGUAUUUUUUUAGUAGAGACAGGGUUUCACCGUGUUAGCCAGGAUGGUCUCAAUCUCCUGACCUGGUGAUCUGCUCGCCUCGGCCUCCCAAAGUGCUGGGAUUACAGGUGUGAGCCACCGCGCCUGGCCUGUGUAUUUAUUUUUGAAAGAUAAAAGCUUGUAAAGCUAUUAAUUUGCCUAUAUUGAUGAUGUUAAGAAGUUCAAACCGGGUUACCUGGAAGCUACUCUUAAUUGGUUUAGAUUAUAUAAGGUACCAGAUGGAAAACCAGAAAACCAGUUUGCUUUUAAUGGAGAAUUCAAAAACAAGGCUUUUGCUCUUGAAGUCAUUAAAUCCACUCAUCAAUGUUGGAAAGCAUUGCUUAUGAAGAAGUGUAAUGGAGGAGCUAUAAAUUGCACAAACGUGCAGAUAUCUGAUAGCCCUUUCCGUUGCACUCAAGAGGAAGCAAGAUCAUUAGUUGAAUCGGUAUCAUCUUCACCAAAUAAAGAAAGUAAUGAAGAAGAGCAAGUGUGGCACUUCCUUGGCAAGUGAUUGAAACAUCUGAAAUUCUGCUGUCAAGAUUCCCAUCUCUAAGGACUCCAAGACUCUUUUUCCCCAAGUGCUAGAGACAAGGGGGUCUAUGAGCAUUUACUGACUUCCUGUUAAAACUUCAUUUUUUCAAACUUUUUGAGCUAUGCAAUAUAUAAAUAAACAGUAAGAAUUUUAAA